AUUGAACGCUGGCGGCAGGCCUAACACAUGCAAUUCGAACGAGUGGCGGAAGGGUGAGUAAUGUCUGGGAAACUGCCCGAUGGAGGGGGAUAACUACUGGAAACGGUAGCUAAUACCGCAUACCAUCGGAUGUGCCCAGAUGGGAUUAGCUAGUAGGUGGGGUAACGGCUCACCUAGGCGACUAUCCCUAGCUGGUCUGAGAGGAUGACCAGCCACACUGGAACUGAGACACUGUCCAGACUCCUACGGUAGGCAGCAGUGGGGCAUAUUGCACAAUGGGCGCAAGCCUGAUGCAUCCAUGCCGCGUGUAUGAAGAAGGCCUUCGGGUUGUAAAGUACUUUCAGCGGGGAUGCGUUACCCGCAGAAGAAGCACCGGCUAACUCCGUGCCAGCCGCCGCGGUAAUAC
rnacentral:rRNA from 1 species